AGCAUCUCUCUGCAGCGCGUUGGUGUUGUACUGGUCCGUGGUGCUCUCCCGGCAGUUAGUGUCCUGUUCCGGCAGAAUGAAGGUAAAGAAGAGAGCCCAGAUAAGAUGAAUAUCCUGGCUGAAGCUGGAAAAUAUUAGAAGAUUUACCCCAAAAAGAGUUAAAAGAAAAUUUCCUGUAGAAAGUUGAAGGACCUCUAAAAGGAUUAAAUAGCUGUCUUCAGGAGUUACCACAGGGAACAUGGCACAUGAGAAAAAUGAUUAUUAAUAACCAAUGAUUUGGGGAGAUACAGAGUUCCCCCUUUUUCUACAAUCCUCAUUUCAAAGUUCAAUCUCUUGAAGCACAUUGAAUUAACUCUCUUCCAUAUUGGUCAGAUGCCAUCUAAACUUACAAGGAAUUUAAUCUAAGGCAAUUGGGGUUAAGUGACUUGCCCAGUCUCACACAGCUAG